rnacentral:rRNA from 1 species
CCUACGGGAGGCAGCAGUGAGGAAUAUUGGUCAAUGGGCGCGAGCCUGAACCAGCCAAGUAGCGUGAAGGAUGACUGCCCUACGGGUUGUAAACUUCUUUUAUAAAGGAAUAAAGUGAGGCACGUGUGCCUUUUUGUAUGUACUUUAUGAAUAAGGAUCGGCUAACUCCGCGCCAGCAGCCGCGGUAAUACGGAGGAUCCGAGCGUUAUCCGGACUCAUUGGGUUUAAAGGGAGCGUAGAUGGGGUGGUAAGUCAGUUGGGAAAGUUUGCGGCUCAACCGGAAAAGUGCAAUUGAUACUGGCAGCGUUGAGGACAGUUGGGGUAGGCGGAAUUCGUGGUGUAGCGGUGAAAGGCUUAGAUAUCACGAAGAAGGCCGAUUGCGAAGGCAGCUGACUAAACUGCCACUGACAUUGAUGCUCGAAAGUGUGGGUAUCAAACAGGAUUAGAUACCCUUGUAGUG